rnacentral:rRNA from 1 species
GAGUUUGAUCCUGGCUCAGAACGAACGCUGGCGGCGUGCUUAACACAUGCAAGUCAGGGAGAAAGUCUCUUCGGGGAUGAUUAAACCGGCGCACGGGUGAGUAACACGUGAGUGACCUGCCUUUUAGACUGGAACAACUUACCGAAAGGUGAGCUAAUGCCGGAUGAGUUAUAUAAGUGCAUGUUUAUAUAGGAAAAGUUGGGGAGACCUGACGCUGAAAGAUGGACUCGCGUCCCAUUAGCUAGUUGGUAGGGUAAUGGCCUACCAAGGCGACGAUGGGUAGCCGGCCUGAGAGGGUGGCCGGCCACACUGGGACUGAGACACGGCCCAGACUCCUACGGGAGGCAGCAGUGGGGAAUUUUGCGCAAUGCUCGUAAGAGUGACGCAGCGACGCCGCGUGAAUGACGAAGGCCUUCGGGUCGUAAAGUUCUUUCGACAGGGAAGAAAAUGCCUAUAAGUAACUGUGUAUGUAUUGACGGUACCUGUAUAAGCAGCCCCGGCUAACUCCGUGCCAGCAGCCGCGGUAAUACGGAGGGGGCGAGCGUUGUUCGGAGUGACUGGGCGUAAAGAGCACGUAGGCGGUGUUGUAAGUCAUUAGUCAAAGACUAGAGCUCAACUUUAGUAAGGCUAGUGAUACUAUAAUACUAGAGUAUCAGAGAGGAUUGCAGAAUUCCUGGUGUAGCGGUGAAAUGCGUAGAUAUCAGGAGGAAUACCGUUAGC